GACGGAGGGCGCAAGCGUUGUUCGGAAUUACUGGGCGUAAAGCGCGGGCAGGCGGUCUGUUAAGUCGUUUGUGAAAAUCCGGAGCUCAACUCCGGAAAUGCGUACGAUACUGGCAGGCUGGAGAUCGGUAGAGGCUAGCGGAAUUCCUGGUGUAGCGGUGGAAUGCGUAGAUAUCAGGAAGAACACCUGUGGCGAAGGCGGCUAGCUGGGCCGAGUCUGACGCUCAUCCGCGAAAGCGUGGGGAGCAAACAGG
rnacentral:rRNA from 1 species